rnacentral:rRNA from 1 species
AUGGUGAUUGCUCCAGUCGCGACCUACUCCUCCUCCCGAGCGCCACCGCCGGCGAGGAGUACGGCGUACCGAGCGCGCCUCGCCGCCGCCUGGCUCUCCUCGAGGGCGUCCUCCUUCGCCUCGGGCAGCGGGCUCGCCGUGGCGGCGGCUUCCGUGGCGGUGGCCGCGCGGCCCAGGCGGACGGGCGCGGGGGGCGGCGCGCUCGGGUGCAAGUGCCUGUUCGGGCUCGGCGUGCCGGAGAUGGUCGUCAUCGCCGGCGUCGCCGCGCUGCUGUUCGGGCCCAAGCAGCUCCCCGAGAUCGGCCGCAGCGUCGGCAAGACCGUCAAGAGCUUCCAGCAGGCAGCCAAGGAAUUUGAAACAGAACUGAAGAAAGAACCCGAGGAAGGCGGCGACCAGCCUCCACCCACAACCCCCACGGCGGUCAGCAGCAGCGACGAUGAAGAGAAAAGGGAGCUAGAGGCAUCGAGUAGGAAAGAGAGCACAUGA